UACGUAGGUGGCGAGCGUUGUCCGGAUUUACUGGGCGUAAAGGGAGCGUAGGCGGACUUUUAAGUGAGAUGUGAAAUACUCGGGCUCAACUUGAGUGCUGCAUUUCAAACUGGAAGUCUAGAGUGCAGGAGAGGAGAAUGGAAUUCCUAGUGUAGCGGUGAAAUGCGUAGAGAUUAGGAAGAACACCAGUGGCGAAGGCGAUUCUCUGGACUGUAACUGACGCUGAGGCUCGAAAGCGUAGGGAGCAAACAGG
rnacentral:rRNA from 1 species